rnacentral:rRNA from 1 species
UACGUAGGGGGCGAGCGUUGUCCGGAUUUAUUGGGCGUAAAGAGCUCGUAGGCGGCUUGGCAAGUCGGGUGUGAAACCUCCAGCUCAACCUGGAGACGCCACUCGAUACUGCCAUGGCUAGAGUCCGGUAGGGGACCACGGAAUUCCUGGUGUAGCGGUGAAAUGCGCAGAGUAUCAGGAGGAACAGCCGGUGGCGAAGGCGGUGGUCUGGGCCGGCACUGACGCUGAGGAGCGAAAGCGUGGGUAGCAAACAGG